rnacentral:pre_miRNA from 15 species
GGUGGGGCAGCUGGUGUUGUGAAUCAGGCCGUGACCAAUCGGAAAACGGCUACUUCACAACACCAGGGUCGCACCC